UGAAAUCUAUGAGAGCGAACUCAUCUUACUGUUAGUAAAUCGUUGUAAACAGAUGUAGAUCAAGAUUUCAGUCUAGCAGAUCUGUUGAAGCGAUCUCACCAAAUUGCCAAUCUUACAAUAGACAUCAGUAAGUGUAAUUCAAGUGUAAUUCACGUAGGAUGUCACUUUGAAGUGCCGCGAGAGAUAAUGACAAAGAAAACGGUGAUUAACGUGCGAUCGAUGGACAAUGCAUGCUUCGCGUGGUCGGUGGUCGCCGCUCUGUACUCAGCCGAAAGAAACGCGGAUUGCGAAUCUUUCUAUCCACACUAUAUGAUGGUGCUAAAUUUCCAAAAUAUAGAAUUUUUUCCUUUAAUGUUAAAAGACGAACGAAAUUCGGACGUCUCGACGAUGUAUCCAUUAACGUAUACGGUAUCGAGGGACAGAAAACGCUAAACAUUCUCCUGAUACGAUUCGCUGAUGACAAAAAAAAGAAACAUGUCUUUUGCAAGAUCCGCGAUAAUGUGAACCAUUUCGCAUGGAUCAAGAAUCUCAACUCAUGAGCUCGUAAUUGAGUAAACUUCACGUCAAAAGUAUAUUUGCGAUCGAUUGCCGACGAAUAAACGAUUGCGCUAUCCGACUACCGAGCGACGACGACAAGUGGCUGAGCUUUAACAACUAUAAUAGGAAGAAACGAAUUCCAUUUGUCGUUUACGCUGAUCUAGAAUGCAUCCUCGAGAAAACCGAUAGCGAUCAGGAAGCAUCUACGCGAAUUGCAUAGAGUAUAUCUUUAACGCCGCGUCACCGUGCCGUAUCACAACUACGAAUAGAGGAGAAGCGUUGGACCCA